UACGUAGGUGACUAGCGUUGUCCGGAUUUACUGGGCGUAAAGAGCGCGCAGGCGGUCGUUCAAGUCGAGUGUGAAAGCCCCCGGCUCAACUGGGGAGGGUCACUUGAUACUGAUCGACUCGAAGACAGGAGAGGGAAGCGGAAUUCCCGGUGUAGUGGUGAAAUGCGUAGAUAUCGGGAGGAACACCAGUGGCGAAGGCGGCUUCCUGGCCUGUUCUUGACGCUGAGGCGCGAAAGCUAGGGGAGCAAACGGG
rnacentral:rRNA from 1 species